rnacentral:rRNA from 1 species
GACGAACGCUGGCGGCGUGCUUAACACAUGCAAGUCGAACGGAAAGGCCCUGCUUUUGUGGGGUGCUCGAGUGGCGAACGGGUGAGUAACACGUGAGUAACCUGCCCUUGACUUUGGGAUAACUUCAGGAAACUGGGGCUAAUACCGGAUAGGAGCUCCUGCUGCAUGGUGGGGGUUGGAAAGUUUCGGCGGUUGGGGAUGGACUCGCGGCUCAUCAGCUUGUUGGUGGGGUAGUGUCUUACCAAGGCUUUGACGGGUAGCCGGCCUGAGGGGGUGACCGGCCACAUUGGGACUGAGAUACGGCCCAGACUCCUACGGGAGGCAGCAGUGGGGAAUAUUGCACAAUGGGCGGAAGCCUGAUGCAGCAACGCCGCGUGCGGGAUGACGGCCUUCGGGUUGUAAACCGCUUUCGCCUGGGACGAAGCGUGAGUGACGGUAAUUGGUAAAGAAGCACCGGCUAACUACGUG